AUAUUUGGAGAGUUGGGGAGAGAUGA
rnacentral:piRNA from 1 species